rnacentral:rRNA from 1 species
GACGAACCGAGCGAACGGUGUUCGGAAUCACUGGGCUUAAAGGGCGCGUAGGCGGGCCGCAUGGUCCGGGGUGAAAUCCUCCCGCUUAACGGGAGAACGGGCCCGGAUACCGGCGGUCUUGAGGGGGGUAGGGGCGCGCGGAACACUGGGUGGAGCGGUGAAAUGCGUUGAUAUCCAGUGGAACUCCGGUGGCGAAGGCGGCACGCUGGACCUUUUCUGACGCUGAGGCGCGAAAGCCAGGGGAGCAAACGGG